rnacentral:rRNA from 1 species
ACUGGGAUACCACUUGGAAACAGGUGCUAAUACCGGAUAACAACAUGAAUCGCAUGAUUCAAGUUUGAAAGGCGGCGCAAGCUGUCACUUUAGGAUGAGCCCGCGGCGCAUUAGCUAGUUGGUGGGGUAAAGGCCUACCAAGGCAAUGAUGCGUAGCCGAGUUGAGAGACUGAUCGGCCACAUUGGGACUGAGACACGGCCCAAACUCCUACGGGAGGCAGCAGUAGGGAAUCUUCCACAAUGGACGCAAGUCUGAUGGAGCAACGCCGCGUGAGUGAAGAAGGUCUUCGGAUCGUAAAGCUCUGUUGUUGGUGAAGAAGGAUAGAGGCAGUAACUGGUCUUUAUUUGACGGUAAUCAACCAGAAAGUCACGGCUAACUACGUGCCAGCAGCCGCGGUAAUACGUAUGGCAAGCGUUGUCCGGAUUUAUUGGGCGUAAAG